UGGGGCCUAAUUUGUUUAUUUUUUGUGUGUUUUUCCGUCUUUGUUCUUCCGACCUGUAAGUGUUGCACUACUAGUGGUCAAAUUAUUCUCUUGUAUCGUCUGAUUUCCGAAUGAAUAUAAAUCAUGUCCUUAAAUUUUCAAUUGCACAAAAUACGAACAUUUCAACGUAUUUUUAAUUAGACAAUUAAAUUCACACGUCUUUCAUUAAUUAUUUGUAACCUAUUAUAAAACUUUACGUUGAGUACUGUGUUUUUCGUUCAAGACUACGGCUUUUUAAAACGAUAUUGUUGGGUCAAUUCAGGUUUCAUUUUAAUUAGUUUGAUAUCAAUAGAAGAAAAAUUGUUACAUGUUUAUUUGUUUAUUUGUUUAUAAUUUUGUUGUGAGGCGUUUUUUCUUUCUGUUGAUAUCAUAAACAUGAAAUGCCUUCUCCUACGCGUCUAAAACAAAAAAAAACAAGUGUUUUUAAGUCAGGCUGCACACAGAACAACGUACAGAAUGCUGUGAUUUCUAAUUGGAGUUAUUUAAUAGAUAAUUUCUAUGAGGUUUAAGACAGCAUAGGAGUGCUUGUUGGAUUCAUUAUAGACCGCAGAAAGUAGUUUCUCUUUCGUGUGUCCUUUCUUGGAGUAAGGGAGAUAACUUGCGUAACUAACGACGAACGUUUUUAAUCCCGUAUUCCGCUAGAGGCGUGCAAU
rnacentral:lncRNA from 1 species